rnacentral:rRNA from 1 species
GAUGAACGCUGGCGGCGUGCCUAAUACAUGCAAGUCGAGCGAACAGACGAGGAGCUUGCUCCUCUGACGUUAGCGUCGGACGGGUGAGUAACACGUGGAUAACCUACCUAUAAGACUGGGAUAACUUCGGGAAACCGGAGCUAAUACCGGAUAAUAUAUUGAACCGCAUGGUUCAAUAGUGAAAGACGGUUUUGCUGUCACUUAUAGAUGGAUCCGCGCCGCAUUGGCUAGUUGGUAGGUAACGGCUUACUAAGGCAACGAUGCGUAGCCGACCUGAGAGGGUGAUCGGCUACACGGGAAAUGAGACACGGUCCAGACUCCUACGGGAGGCAGCAGUAGGGAAUCUUACGCAAUGGGCGAAAGCCUGACGGAGCAACGCCGCGUGAGUGAUGAAGGUCUUCGGAUCGUAAAACUCUGUUAUUAGGGAAGAACAAAUGUGUAAGUAACUAUGCACGUCUUGACGGUACCUAAUCAGAAAGCCACGGCUAACUACGUG